rnacentral:rRNA from 1 species
AUUGAACGCUGGCGGAAUGCUUUACACAUGCAAGUCGAACGGCAGCACGGGUGCUUGCACCUGGUGGCGAGUGGCGAACGGGUGAGUAAUGCACCGGAACGUAUCCAAUAAUGGGGGAUAACGCACCGAAAGGUGUGCUAAUACCGCAUACGCCCUGAGGGGGAAAGCGGGGGAUCGUAAGACCUCGCGUUAAUGGAGCGGCCGAUGCCGGAUUAGCUAGUUGGUGAGGUAAAGGCUCACCAAGGCGACGAUCCGUAGCUGGUCUGAGAGGACGACCAGCCACACUGGAACUGAGACACGGUCCAGACUCCUACGGGAGGCAGCAGUGGGGAAUUUUGGACAAUGGGCGCAAGCCUGAUCCAGCGAUUCCGCGUGAGUGAAGAAGG